UACAGAGGUCUCAAGCGUUGUCCGGAUUCAUUGGGCGUAAAGGGUGCGUAGGCGGCGCGUUGAGUCGGGUGUGAAAUCUCGGAGCUUAACUCCGAAACUGCAUUCGAUACUGCCGUGCUUGAGGACUGGAGAGGAGACUGGAAUUUACGGUGUAGCGGUGAAAUGCGUAGAUAUCGUAAGGAAGACCAGUGGCGAAGGCGGGUCUCUGGACAGUACCUGACGCUGAGGCGCGAAGGCCAGGGGAGCAAACGGG
rnacentral:rRNA from 1 species